AAAAGAAAUAUUACUUAGAUUCAUAUUUCACUUGCCAAAAAAUAGUCUAAGCCUUUCUAAUUAGGUUGGAUAAAAGAUAAACUUGUGAGUGGCUCGAGAUUUUUACUCUGAUUAUUAUGGGUAAUUUUCUGCCUUGCGUCUAUCACUUCUGAUAAAGUAUCUUUUGCGCAUGCAGAGAACAAGAUCAGGACGAAGCUGACGAAACAGAAUAUCAGAACGGGGCAAUGGAAGUGGCGAGGAACGUGGUUGAUAGUACUCUAGACAGGCCAAGUUUGCAUGAAUUCCCCGGAUUAAAUAAUUUAGGCCCAGAGGAAUUAUAUGCUAUGCUGUUUCUCCAGGUCGUUAGACUACAUCGGAUUCUUUGACAGUGAAGAAGCACUUAUUGCCGUGGAGGAACUUGAAGAAGACAGUGGAGAGUAGUGUAUGUAUAUUCUCUUUUUAUGACUAUAUAUAUAUAUAGAGAGAGAGAUCCAGAUGAAAUUGUUGAUGUAGACAGAAGAAAAGGAGAUUGGUGGAGGAACUAGUUCUUCA